AGGCUCUGGGCCUGGAGUCUGGAGACUCUGAAGGGGUUGGGCCCCCUCUGCUCCUCCAGGUCCCUCAGCUUCUUGACUGAUUCCAGCUGGACCUGGAAGCCUUGGUGCUGGAGGGCCGGAGGGGACAGGAGGAAGUUACGGUAGCACAGCGGCGAGUCAUUCCCUGUGUUGGAGACAGCUGGUUGUGCACUGAAGUUCACUCUCCCCUCCCAAACCGUACAGUCAUGGCUGGAAAGCUGCUGUGGAGCAGGGGACAGGCAGCCAGGCUUGGUCAGUUGCCAAUGAUGACAAGGCUCUCCAAGAUGGCAGAGUCCCAAAAUGGAAGGGGUGAAGGUUCUUCCAUGGACACCUUCAGGAUAAGGGGUGUGGUGGACAGAGUGCCCUGAAGAGUUCCACUUCUUGUCCCUCCGAGCAUCUUACUGUGAUGUGAACUCACAAUUCGCCCCACAAAGGUGGAGUGUACUGCUCCCAUCGGUGGAAUGAGGGAGCAGUAAAAUGGGGCAAAAGUCCCAAGUCGAAAUGUCACAAGACCCUGCAUGUUUCUCUGUUUGUUUGUCUCUCUGCUGUCUGCACCUGAGCA